GACCUCGGAUCAGGUAGGGAUACCCGCUGAACUUAAGCAUAUCAAUAAGCGAGAGGUCAAAGGGCUU
rnacentral:rRNA from 1 species